rnacentral:rRNA from 1 species
UCCUACGGGAGGCAGCAGUGAGGAAUAUUGGUCAAUGGUCGGGAGACUGAACCAGCCAAGCCGCGUGAGGGAUGAAGGUACAGAGUAUCGUAAACCUCUUUUGUCAGGGAACAAAGGCGGGGACGUGUCCCCGGAUGAGUGUACCUGAAGAAAAAGCAUCGGCUAACUCCGUGCCAGCAGCCGCGGUAAUACGGAGGAUGCGAGCGUUAUCCGGAUUUAUUGGGUUUAAAGGGUGCGCAGGCGGUCUGUCAAGUCAGCGGUCAAAGCCCGGGGCUCAACCCCGGCCCGCCGGUGAAACUGGCAGG